GGUUUUUUUUCAUCUGUUAAUUAACAAUCUACAUUAUUAGUAAUAUCAUUAAUAGGAACAUUCACCACUUUUGCCUUAUGCUUUGAUAAUUGAAUAAUUCUUCAGUCAUUAUUCGAGAUUUAACAAAUAUUAAACAUAUAAAAUGUAAACAGGCACGUUAUUAUAGGCUAUUUUAGAAAUGUAACGGAAAGAGAAAAUGUUGACGAAAAACGGUUUUUAACCGUGUGUUCACUGGAUAAUCUCAAACUGAAGAAUCGAGGCACUAUAAAAUAGUUAUCAUAAUGAGUCGACCUGCAAUGUAAAUACGCAAUCUAGAGUUCACAGGACAUAUU